AUGGGAGCAGGCAGCUGUGGAUGGCCAAAGCAGGGCCACUGGAAGUAAAGCUGGCAUUGACAAGGGCAGACAGGUGCAGAAGGAAACCUGGGUUUGGAUGACAUUGGUCCCUGGACUGGAGAGAGCUCAAGCCCUGGCUGCAAAUCGUUUGUCUUGAAGAGACAUAAAUGAGAACCACAACUGCCAGAAAAUAAGACACUGCUGACUGCGACUGCUGAUAAGCUGCAUAAGGCAGGAGGUCAACAAUCCGGAGACUGCUCUUAAUUAUUAAAGGAUCAACACGUCUUAAUGCACGCAUCCACCGGGGAGGCCAGAGAACCGGGGGCUCCGGGAGAGAAGUCUUCUCCUCUUUAAAUUGGCAAAAACAAACACACGAAGCAGUUGUCCGGGGUGGGGGUGGGGGAGCUAAAGGGUUGCCCCUCUCUCCUAACUCUAAAUUUGGAACCGAGAAUAUUGGCACCUCUUCCUCUCCAGACUCAAGCUGCCGUGUCAUCGAGGAGUGGGUUUGCAGACGUGAUCUCCGUUUAACCAACUGAACCUUGACUCGGCCCCAUGGGCAAGGAGCGCUGGGACCCAACAGCCCAGGGCCCCAGGGGAGCUUUGCGCCACUACUCUGCGUUAGUGCCUUCUCUUGUCCUAAAUUAAGCUCCUCGACAUAUAAUUAUCCAUCCCACACACUGAACCUAUCUCCCAGGUAAAUGUUUCUGCUCAGGGAACACUGGUUCACAGGAUAAAAACAGUCCUCCUCUGUCUCCUCCCUGUCACCACCGCCAGCCCCACGGAUGAGUCCUUGCUGGGUGCCCUGGGCUCAGGGCUGGGCUGCCUGCUGCGGCGAUCACACGAAGCUAUAGGUGAGCCCGAGGAAGUGGUGGUUGUGCCUUUUCUCCCUCCUUUUUUCUUUCUUUCCACAAUUGGAGGGAAAGGCGUCAGGACCGGUCAAGAGCGAUGCAGGUGGAUUUAGUACGAAAAGAAUCAGGACACCAUUCCGUUGCAAUACCUGACAACGUUGCAAAGGAAAAGGGCUUCAUAAAAGCAGCGGCCGGGUGGGUUGUCUCCAAACGCGUGUGGCUCCCGGGAUGAGGAGACCAUCCCGAAAAUUUGGCCGCAAUGCCUAUAAGCUGAAGUACCUGUUCCAGAUCUGUGCCAGAUGAGGUUUCGGGGGAUCUGCAUGAGUACCAGUGAGUUCAUGGCAGCUCCCAGGCUUAAUAAUCAUGGUGUUGCUCUCAGUAGCAGAGCAAGCGAGGAACGGAGACGACAAUUCACUCGGGAAGAACAUGGCAAUGUUAAGAAAAUGGCCAAGAAACAUGGAAAAAUGGGCUCAAACGAAUUCAUAAGCCUGAAAUUCAAAUGACAGCCCUCUAUGUUUAUCUAUCAGGUUUGCAAAGAGAAAACAAACAACAAUACCCUGUGUUGGCAAAGGGUACCGGGGAGUUACUAGAAUCAGACAGACUGGUUUAUGCUUCUAGGCUCUUCCUCUUACUAGCAAAGGGAACUUGGGCAUGUCAUUUAUGUUCUCUAAGACUCUUGUCCUCAUCUGUAAGAUGCAGAUAAUAUUAGUAACCACCUCCAAGGGGGUUUGGGAGAUUUAUGUAAAAUCACGCUUAUAAAGUGCUUAGUGCGUCAUCUGAC